GCAGGCACUCUUAUAUCGCUUUAGUUUCCUCCCAAGGUUUUUUAGCAGUAGGGAUACAUGCCAAGGGGAGGAAUCUCAUGUUCAACAUCGACACAAUGAAACUGCUGCUAGAUAUGAACUUGAAAACUCCUAGCUACUAUGAAUUUUCUUUAUGCUCAUUCUGUCCGUGUUAGUUUAGCUAGGAUAUUAAUUUGCAAAAAAAAGAAUAUAUGACAGUGCUAGGUCACAAAUUGGUCUCCACAUUUAUGUACUUUUCUUUCUAAACCAGAAAACGGUUCCCACGCACACACGUAGCAUAAGCAUACCUGCAAGUCAUAUGCAAAGUCCCUGAAUCUCUGACUCUCUGGCAGUAACAACCACAGCUGUUGUUUUCUUCAAGAAACGGCCACUGCUAUGUGCUGUGCAGAGAAACAAGGCUGCUGGGCCCAGUGACAAAACUUAGGAACAGUUGAAAGUACUUCCAGGAACCUGCUCCCGGCAUCAAUCAAUGUAGGCCAUGCAAGUACCUAACGCAGAUUCAUCACGCAUCCUGUGCCUCCAAAGUUGGUACAAUAUCGCACAUCUCCUUUGACCUGAUCAGCAUCCAUGCACGUGUGUUAGCUAGGGAAAUAAGCCCCAGGCUGUACAGAAGGCAACAUGUCACACACGUUCUCUGGCCUUGGCCAUUAGAUGAGCCAUCGAAAAGUUUCAGUAAGGUGGGAAAAGUCACCUAACUCAGCAUGAUUCUACGAUAAGACACAACAAUAAUGUCCUAAUGAUCUUAGACAUUACCCUUCAUCUAGAAAACCUGCAUUUCUUUUAAGGCACCACGCUGCUGUAGCGGCAUACUUUUAUCCACAAAGGCGUGGGAUACGAAUCCCUGUUCCCAUGAUGACCAAUAUAAAAAAAUCCCUGCAUACAGUCUUAGCGUUAAUCAAUACCUUCUUACCUGUAACGAUACUUAUGUAUAACAAAAGUACCAGUAUUAAUUAGGAAGCAAACCUCUCGCUUUUGGUUAUGCCAUUUCGUGUACUUUGGCAGCUUGGUUUCACAUAUGAUAUAUGAUGUAUUGCCAUGUGUAUGGAGAGGUUCCUAGAGACUUAUGGUUUGUUAGGGGUGGGCCUACCGUGAUAUAGAAGGUUAAAGUGAGACAUCAGACCGAUUACUGAUCUAUUGUAAGAUUGUACAUGCCUUGGUAAGGUAAUUCAAACCAGUAACUGUAACAUUCCGAUUCAAUCACUGUAACAUUCCAACUCACGAAGGGUGAAACUAAAAAAAAGGCAGCCUGGUGCACAUAGCUCCCGUUUACGCAGGGUCCGGGGAAGGGUCCGAUCACUUUGGGUCUUUCGUACGCAGCAUUUCCCUACAUUUCUGCAAGAGGCUGUUUUCAAGACUCGAACCCAUGACCUCAUGGUCACAAGGCAACAGCUUUACCUCCAAGGCAUGGUCACGAAGGGUGAAAUUACAUGAUCACAAAUUUAUGUGAUUAGUUCACAAAGCUAUUGUGUAUGGAUAUGUUUGUUGAAGACAUUCUGUACUCGCAACUUUGCAGAACUUUCAUAAGAAUAGUUGUUCUUCAAGUGGUGAUGGUACUAUUGAUAUUUCAUCAGUGUUACAGUGUGCAUUUGUAUUAACUCGUCAAUAAAAUAAUUACUGAGUUUAAAGUUUAAACUUUUAUAAGAAUCUCCAUCUACACUUGUCUACCAAAUCACCAAAGCUUAAAGUUCGAGUAACUACAACACCAGAAAUGAAGACCGAAACAUGACAUAGGGCAUAGCACCUUUGGAAGAAAAUCAGAUGAUUUAAACCUUUGGAGUUACUCCCUCCAUUCCUAAAUAUAUGUUGAGAUUCCAAUAUAGACUACAUAUGGAGUAAAAUGAGUGAAUCUACACUCUAAAGUAGGUCUAUAUACAUCUGUAUGUAGUUCGUAUUGAAAUCUCUAAAAGGACUUAUAUUUCGGAACGGAGGGAGUACUUGAUAGAAGAGUUAUUGUCGAAGCAGUUGACAAUGCCUGGUAGCUCACUUAUUUUAUACGCAUCGUCUAACAACCCAGCUGCCCUGCAGCAUCUCACAGUUCUUUCCCAGAAACCACCCUUCUUUCUCUUCCCUACAUGCGCCUCAUCCUCCUACUAUAUAAACCACCCCAUUCUGCACCUCAUAACCCACAAGAGAAGUAGAAACAAACAAAUAACAAGUCUCUUCUAUUACUUGUAACAAAGUGCAGCUAAGGACACUUACAUGGCGACUUCCAUGAGUUGCCUGCUGGUGCUAUGCCUUGUCUGUCCCCUCCUUGCUGGUGUUGUACGUGCCAACCCAUGGUACGGCUU
rnacentral:lncRNA from 1 species